rnacentral:lncRNA from 1 species
AGGCCAAGGGAAGAAGAAAUGGGGGUAACGUGCUUAAGAAGCAUCCGGUAAAGGCCCUGCUCUCUUUGUCAAACCCAUGCUUGCUCUAUACACGAACCGAGUUAUCCGAAUUGAUUAUUGAAGGUGUGGACUUGGGUUUUUUUUUUUUUUUGACAACCAACUGCUAUCAAAUUACCUGUUUGCAUAGUUUAAUUUAAAAAAAAAA